rnacentral:rRNA from 1 species
UACGUAGGGUCCGAGCGUUGUCCGGAGUUACUGGGCGUAAAGGGCGCGCAGGCGGCGGUGCUGGCCCGGCGUGAAAGCCCCCGGCUCAACCGGGGAAGGGCGUCGGGGACCGCACCGCUUGAGGGCGGUAGGGGCCGGUGGAAUGCCUGGUGUAGUGGUGAAAUGCGUAGAGAUCAGGCAGAACACCUGGGGCGAAGGCGGCCGGCUGGGCGGACCCUGACGCUGAGGCGCGAAGGCGUGGGGAGCGAACGGG